CUCGUCAAAGUCCUCCGACAGCUCCGACCUGACCAGCUUGGUCUUGUACACUGUGGAGGAGGGGCAGCGUGGGUCAUGGGCCGGUUGACCAUGGACGGGGUGGGGGGCACCUUCACCUGCACAUGCACCUGGGCAGGUGUGGCUGCCUCCCCACCCCACACGGAGACGGAGGGAUCUCGGCCCGGCACCGGGCAGUGCGCCCUCCUGGGAACAUACAAUCACACGUGGUCACUCAGUCACCAUCCCACAGUCAUGCGCAAUUCCAGCCGCCCACACGGGGAGUCACACACACAAGGUCGGCUGCUCAGAUGCACAGCUGUCCACAGCACAGUCUUGUCCAGCCAUGGCCAAGUGCAGCUUGCCCUCUGGCAGCCCCCACACAAGUGUGCCCGCAGCUGCAGCCGCCCAAGACGCCAGCCACGUCCAGAACUCCAGCUACUCCAGCUCCCUGUCGUCCACAACCAAAGCCUCGCACAGCUCAAACCUCAGUCCCAUACACCUUGACAGCUACUCCCGUCCACUGUCACCCCUGUCACAGGCAGCCAUACACAGUGGCAGCCAGCCACAGCUACUCCCAUGCUCAGCCAUCUACAUCCACAGCCUCACACCUCGCUGAGCAGAGGCCUCACGCCCACCUUCUUCACACUCGGCCAUGGUGACCAUGGUUCCCCACAAGACCACGGCCCCCACCACACAUCCUCACGCAGCAAGCCACCCGCAGCCUGCAGGACCACCGUCCUCACGCCCGCUCCGUCCCGCUCACCAUAGUCCACUCCGGGCUCGCAGGCCUUGUCCAGCCGGUCAUUCAGGGUGACGUCGUCCUGCUGCUGCAUGAAGCAGUUCUCUGCAGGGUGGGGGUGGAGACUCGGGGUGAGCCCCACUUGCUGCCCAGGGCUGUGGCUGGCCCCAGGGCCUGUCCUUCCUGGCAUCCCCAGGGCUGGGCUUCAGGGCCCCUUGGGACUCCCCAUGGGGCGGGGUGUCCAGGUGGGUGUGGCCCACUCAGCCCACCCCUGGCUGGCUCCAGGGACCCACCCUCAGCACAGCGGCACAUGUCCUUGUGGCACAGCUUGCUCAGCAUUCCGUCCUCCUUCUCCGGGUGGUAGAACUGGGUGCAGGUCUCCUCUGCAGGGGGAGGUGAUGGCGAGGGGCUCAGAGGCACAGACCUCCACCCCAGAGACCACGCCUGGCAGGCUCAGAUUCCCAGCGCCCAAGUCCCUCAGGCCUGCAGCUGCUAGGCCCCUACCCUCAAUUCCUGAGACUCUCUGACCUUCUGAUCUUUGGGACCCUCAGGCUCUAGGAACUUCAAACCUCCAACCUGAAAAUCCUCAGGACCCUCCAUUCCCCAGCCCUCAGAUCCCUAAGUCUCAGAUCCUGGGACUCUCAGAAUCUCGACUUGUGAAUUGUUGGGACCCUCAGCUCCCUGACAGCUCACACAUCCAUGGGACCCUCAGACUCGGGACUCCUGGAACCCCAACUCACAGGCCCCCAGGGCCCGAAGGCCUCUGGAACCAUCCAUCUCCCGACCCUCAGUCCCUGACUCCGAGAGCCCCAGCCCAGCUUGGCGGCUCACCCAGGUUGUAAUAGGAGUAGACCUUGACGGAUCCGGGCUGGAGGAGCCCCACGUUGAAGUACUGGUGAACUUUGAAGGACAGACAGUCUUCCUCCGUGUGUGAGAUCUGAGAGGAAGGAGGCGAAGGAUGAAGUCCCUCCCUCAUCAGAUGCCAAACAGUUGAGGCCACCAAUCUUGGAUUUCCAGUCUCUGAGACUAUGAGCUCAAAAGAAUGGAUUCUGCAAAGGACUCCAACAUCCUAGGGAUUAAUGGCCACAAGGUUGGACUUCAACUUUUGGACUCAAGGGACUUUCCUGCCUCCACCUACUGAAUAUAUGGGACUACAGGUACAUACCACCGACUGUGCCUGGCUCCAGAUGAACUUUACACAGGCCCUGUCUCCUCCAGCCUGGGGCACAAAGGUCAAGGCAGAAGAAAAGGGCAGCCAGAUAGGGGUCCAGCUGUCUGUGGAAGCCUCCCAGGGGAGCUUGUAGGCUUACCUUGUCCAAGUAGAUGAUGAGGGUGUUCUUGUGGGAGAAGGCUUUGUUCAGCUCGUACUUGGAGAUGUAUCUGUCCACACCGGUGCUCAGCUGGGGAAGGGUGGGGCUUGUGAAGAUCCCUCCUUGAGCCUGGCUCUCCCUGCAGCCUCUUCCCCAUCCCAGCCCCUGAUCCCUUCAUACCAGUUCCAGGUCAUUUGUGUCAGGAACGAAGCCUGUCAUCAUGGAUAUAUCCAGGAUGGACAUUGUGGCAUCCUGUUCUCCCAGGUACCUGGAUAAGGCAGAGAGAAGGUUGUUGGAGCCCAGGGGUCUGUGCCUGAUCAGGGUUCGAGGCCUCUGAUGCCCACCCAGCAUCCUAGAGAGAUGUUUAAUUUUAGGAAGCACUUCCCCAAAAGCAAAAAAGGAACUGUGUAAUGGGCAAGGUCAUGAAGAUCUCAGAUUCUGGACCCAAUUGCGUGGGUUCAGAUCCCAGCUCUGUGUAACAUUGGAUGAGUUACUUGACCCUUCUGUGCCUCAGUUCUUCUUGAGAAUGACAAGAAUACGGGCAGCCCUUACUUUGUAUGACUCAGCUGCUCUGGUUCAGGGAAAUAACCUCCAGUGACAUGGUUCAAAUCACAGUACCUCAAUACAAUAAUCAUACUUGCACACGGUACAAACCUUGUUGCUAGCUUGUCAACCACAGAUUACUACGUAAAUAACAGGUGAGAAUGGUAAUCAAUGAUCGAUCACAGGACUCCUUUGAAAGCCUGCCUGUGACUGAUCACUGAGCAUCCAUAAUUCAAGUCAUGCACAGACAGCAAAGCAUGUAGCUGUGUUGCUUCUCUUUCCUCCUGAUCAACCCACAUGACGCUUUACCAAAAUGGGUCCUCAGAAGAGGGAACUGGCCAACAAAAAUGAACUGGCAGCACAGAAAUGAAAAGAUGGUGCUGGAAGUGAAUUCCAACUAGAGCAGAAGGCUGGCAGAUGCCGAGAAGGUCGACCCUGCUGCCAUUGGAGUCAGCAAGAGUGAGGAAGGGGGUAGUGACAGAAAGGAGGCCAGUGUCCCAGAGGAGGCAAUGCUGCGAAGGAUCAGCUUCACGGGAAAGGGACUCUUGGAGGAACCGCAUGGCUUUGAAAGCUGGAAGGAUAAAAUGGGAGUGGAUCUGAACUCUGAAAGGAGCAUGCGAGGCAUGAUGGAACAGAAGAAGGCUUACUCCAGACGCGGAGAACAGUGUUCACCAAGAAACAGCUAAGGCGGGCGUGCUGGCCGUGCCCGUGACCCCGGCUGCUUGGGAGGCCGAGGCAGGAGGAUCACAAGCUCAAGGCCAGUCUUGGCAACUUAGCCAGAUCCUGUCUCAAAAUCAACUUUAG